rnacentral:rRNA from 1 species
AACCGCGGUUAUACGAGAGGCCCCAGUUGAUAGUCUCACGGCGUAAAGUGUGGUUAAGGAUGAAAAACAACUAAAGCUAAAAACACCCUAGGCCGUAAUACGCACCUGGGGCAUGAAGUCCCACUACGAAAGUAGCUUUAUGCAAGCCCACCCAACCCACGACAGCCAAGGCA